UACGAACUGUGCGAACGUUGUUCGGAAUCACUGGGCGUAAAGGGCGUGUAGGCGGUUUGGUAAGUGGGAUGUGAAAUGCCCCGGCUCACCCGGGGACCGGCAUCCCAAACUGCCAGGCUUGAGUAUGGUUGAGGUAGGUGGAAUGUGUUGUGUAGCGGUGAAAUGCAUAGAUAUGACACAAAACGCCGAUUGCGAAGGCAACUUACUAAGCCAUUACUGACGCUGAGGCACGAAAGCGUGGGUAGCGAACAGG
rnacentral:rRNA from 1 species